rnacentral:rRNA from 1 species
UGGGGAAUUUUGGACAAUGGGCGCAAGCCUGAUCCAGCCAUGCCGCGUGCAGGAAGAAGGCCUUCGGGUUGUAAACUGCUUUUGUCAGGGAAGAAAUCCUUUGGGUUAAUACCUCGAAGGGAUGACGGUACCUGAAGAAUAAGCACCGGCUAACUACGUGCCAGCAGCCGCGGUAAUACGUAGGGUGCGAGCGUUAAUCGGAAUUACUGGGCGUAAAGCGUGCGCAGGCGGCUUUGCAAGACAGAUGUGAAAUCCCCGGGCUCAACCUGGGAACUGCAUUUGUGACUGCAAGGCUAGAGUGCGGCAGAGGGAGAUGGAAUUCCGCGUGUAGCAGUGAAAUGCGUAGAUAUGCGGAGGAACACCGAUGGCGAAGGCAAUCUCCUGGGCCUGCACUGACGCUCAUGCACGAAAGCGUGGGGAGCAAACAGGAUUAGAUACCCUGGUAGUCCACGCCCUAAAANGAUGUCAACUGGUUGUUGGACGGCUUUGCUGUUCAGUAACGAAGCUAACGCGUGAAGUUGACCGCCUGGGGAGUACGGCCGCAAGGUUGAAACUUAAAUGAAUUGACGGGGUCAUAGCUGUUUCCU